rnacentral:lncRNA from 1 species
GUUCUAACUCACUCUUUCCUCUGGGCCAGUUGCUAAAUGCUAGUUCUAUGAAGAUCCGAUUUACCAAAUGACCAAUUCCCCGAUUUUUUAUUGUUUCCUAGAACUUGUGUUUUAGUUGGGCAGUUUUCAAUUUGUGUUUAUAUCAGCAGAUUCAGACUGUCAUUUUAUGUCUGUCUCAGUACCCUGAGAACGGGGGUGGGAGUAAUGCCAGGGAUUUGGGAAGGCAGGAGGAGAGGACGCUGUAAGCAAAUAACCUUGACUGUGGAAUUCAGCCAACAGGUCAUUUAUUAAAGUAGUGGUCAUGAGACAAGUGUUUCCUAUUCAGGUUAUGCUCAGGUGCAGAUGUAGCCUGCUGGUAGAGCCUGCACUGAGCUUGUGUGAGGCCCUGGGUUCAAACCCUGGCAACUUACCCCUUCCCGCAGCCAAAAGGCUGUAUUUUUACAAUGUGUUUUUCAUGAUACAUUCUACUUUUUCCAUCUGAAGGGGUGGAGGAGGUAGCAGGUUGUGUAUGUCACAUUUGAUCUUCCUUUUUUCUUGUGAAAGAAGCCUUCCAUUUCUUCGCAUUUCCCUCUCUCCCUGAAGGCUGAGAGGGCUGGGGAGUUAUAAGUAAAUGCAUGUGGCUGAUGCCUCGUUUAGAAAGUCUUGCAAAGAGACUCAGAAAGCGUGCUCCUUAUCCACCUGUCUGGAGUGUGGUCACAAUGGCUGGAUCUGCAUAUUGGGACCAUAUGGGACCCGUAUUGGGAUCAUGAGGUAAUCUUGAUGCAGAGAGACUGAAUAUGUAAAUCGACAGUGUUCACACCACAGAUAGAACUCAGACCAGGUGCAGGGACACAAGCCUCUAGUCCCAGCUUCUUAGGAGGAUGAGGCAGGAGGACCAGAAGUUCAAGGUCAACCUGGGCAACAUAGACCCAUCCCAACAAAUAAGUAGAAUAAUACAGAAAGAACUCGGUCCCACAGCCUGCAGCAGCCAGCCUCAAUCACCAACUCACCAUCCAUAGCAACAGCCCAGGAAGCCUGCUUGGUAUCUACAAUUUAGAUUUGUAGGAAUUCAAACCGGUGCUUCUAGUAACUGGUUCAGAAAGCCACCGAAUGAUAAGCCCAUAAUAAUUGGCUCAAAACGUCCAGGACUUGAUUGAUAACUGUCCGCUUCCGUGCUUUGUGAUCCCGCUUCCAAUUUUGCACUGUAUAGAAAAAGCCCAGUCUGCACCAAUCCCAGAAGACGUGCGCAGCGCCCUACCAGGGCCGCCCAUGCGCGCCCAAGCCCUGGCGCCUUCCCGUGUCCACUGUGGAGCUCCCUUACCCCCAGCCUCAAGUCUCUGCCAGACACGGAGCAGGCUGCUGAGCUCCUUAUUGAUGGUGAAGCAGAAACUAGGGAUUCCGAUCGCAGGUGGAAGGGGCCUGCUGUCCUAGCCCAGACUGCCCCAGAAAUUGAAUCAAACAAAGUCUCCCAGCCUGAAAAAACCUCUCCAUGAAGUCAGGAGAGAAAGAAAACAUUAUCAAAUGAGCAUUGUUGAGAACUCGGCACACGUCGCAGCCUCUCCAGGAACUGCAAGGAUGGCAGGCCCCACAGCUGCGUCUGGGUAGGUUCCGGGUCAGGUGUGCUCAGCUCACCAUGUCUUUACGCUGGGCAAGGACGUGCAGUGUGGAGUCUGUGGCCCCCUGGUGAGGCCUGUCUCCUCCCAGGACACCCAGAGACGAUCCUGAGUCAGGGCUACCAGGCGUUUGGCUGCCCAUGUGAUGCCCACGGCCAAUAGGAGGAGAUGCAAGUUGUGUCGGGGUGAGACACUCGUGUAUGGUUUUCCAGUAGCCAGAACCCAAACAGGACAUCCAGCCAGUGCACAGUUUUGAGGUUUUUUUCCCCAAAGAAAACAGCCUGGAACUUUCUCUUUGAAUGUUGUCCUUUCUCUUUCUGUUUCUUUUCUUAGAGGACAGACAUGAGCUGCGUAUUCUGUCUUGUCUUAUGUUUCAUUUCCCUGUGCUACAGAUGGAGCUUCCGGCUCAUUAGUUCCCUCUUCAGCUGUUUCUGGCCUGCUGUACAAUCCUUAUGCCCAUGAAUCAUAAUAAACCUAGCUCACAUUUCUAUUCACUUAAAAAUUCUUUUAAAAAUGAUAUCUUGUUUCAUGGUUCAUAAAUGCUAUUUUUUUAUCCAUUCUAUCUAAAAUAAGCCUACCUUAAAUACACAGAUACUAAUAGAUUAAGAAGGAAAGGGGGGUAAAGGCUGGGAAUGCAGCUCAGGGCCACGUGUGUGCUCAGCAUGCACCAGUUCAGUCCUAAGCACCCCAGUAAAUAGGUAGAGAGGGUCGGAAAAGCUAUGCCCCAGACACGUAAAUUAUAAAAACAGCUGGAGUGAAAUGGUGAUGUCAGUAGGGAAUGGACAGAUGAGAGUGGUGGGAAUACACACAGGGUUAAGGGAAUAAUUCUAUAAAAUGGGCCCCCUGGGCUGUGGCUGUGGCUCAGUGAUAGAGUGCUUGCCUGGCAUGUGUGAGGUUCAGUUCUCAGCACCACAUGUAAAUAAAGAUCCAUCAGCAACUAAAAAUAAAUAAAUAAAUGGCUCCCUGUGCUGAUCCAUGUGCUUUCACUUUUAAAAAGCCAUCUCCCUGCAGCCCUGCCUGGCUUAAGUCCACAGGAUAAGUCAGUCCUCAGAAAGCCACCUGCCAUCUGCAGGGGAAAUGGAGGCCCCCGAGUGCUGAUAAGAACCCCGAGGGGAGACUUUGUGACCCUGACGCAGACUAGAUCCUGGAAUCGGGGAGAUAAGGAUAAUUCCCCAGCCGUAAGUUCUGUAAAACAGGCUCCAAUUAGAACUGGUCAGCGUGGGCCAAAGUGAUCUAGAGUUGCCAUGUCAUCCUGCUGUCAUCAAAAGUCAAGAGGUGGACCUAGGCAGGCCUCUGGAAACUUCCCUGGGACUCCAGUAAAACUGGAGGUCAGGAGAGGAGCACUGU